GGGUGAGGUGGCCUGGAGGGCGAUGUCAUGGAUGACCUCAUGAGGCAGAUGAGGUCAUGGAUGACAUUAGGAGGAGUGUGAGGUGUCCAGGCUCGCCACAUGUCACACAUGCAAGUAAAAGAGGUGUCCUGCUCCGCCACGUGUCAUGCAUGCAAGCAAAAGAGGUGUCCUGCUCCGCCACGUGUCACGCAUGCAAAGGAGUGAGGUGGCCGGGAUGUGGGUCCCACAUACAGUAUGUGGAUCUCAUAAAUGCAGGACGUGGGUCCCACAUACAGUAUGUGGGUCCCACAUACAGUGUGUGGGUCCCACAUAGGGGAGGAAGUCCUAGUCAUACUAGGAUCAUAAUUGAUUUUAAUCCAAUUUGACUCAAGCCAAAUCUGAUUUGGUUGGGGGCAAAUUAGACAUUUUCACCAAACCAAUUUUGGUAUCAAUUACAGUUUUACCAAUUUCAAAUCAUAUUUGAAUUUGGUCAAGCCCAAUCUCUAUUACUCAAUCAAAUUGAGUCUAAUCAGUGAUCCAAUCACCAAUUAACUUCUCCAAGCAACAAUUGCUUAGGGCAAUCAGUCAAUCACAUUGACUAUUUUACCUCUAGAUGAUUCUCAAUCGUCAAUCAGCCAUUUGAUCAAUCCAGAAACUUCUAAGCGUGUGACCUCACAGGUUCGAACCUAAGCCGGUAGUACAAGAACACUUCCUGCACUAAUCGAAGUAACUAUCUAGCAAUGGGACCCGACGACCGGAUAGGCCGAAUAGAUGCAAAGCAACAUUCUAGAACCUAUGGACUAUGGUUACCGCAUAAU
rnacentral:lncRNA from 1 species